rnacentral:lncRNA from 1 species
UUUUUUUUUUUUUUUUUUAAGCUGUCAUUUCCUGAUUUUUGCUUCUACAGGAAGGACCAUCUAAGUAAAAGGAUUUUUUUUUCCCUUUCAUAAUAAAUCCAUGUAUCCUAUGUCACAUCUAUGAGGACACCAUGGAUCAAUCUCAUUGUAUAUAAAUCUCCUAUCUGAUCUGACUCAACAUGUGACCUGGGUGUUACUAAGCCCUGGUGUCCUGGACUCGUGCAGUUCUGCAUUCAAUUAUUCUUUUGGCAAAUGCCAUAUGGUCCAGGUCCCUGCAAAUAUAAAAGAAUCCAGAUGGCCAUGUGACAAGGAAAUCACAAAUAUGCCCUUUCUCCAUCCGUUAUUAGCCUGAGGCACAAAACAAGAGUCACAAAGAUUUUCUGUAACAGGUGACAGAGUACACCAUUUUGGCUUCAUGGGCCUUAGGAUCUCUUUGGCAGCUGCCCAACCCUUUUGCUGCAGUGUGAAAACGUCCAUAGAUGAUAAAGGAACGUGUGAGGCUCUAUUUUCAUUAAAACGUUAUUUACAUAAACAGGCAAGCGGCCAGUGUUGGCCCAGGGGUUGUAGCUUGGAGACCUAAAGCCCAGAAUUCUGUUUUCCUCACUAAUAUACUGUUGUUGAUUAAUCCAACAACAACCUAUCUAUGGCCUUACCACCCCGAACACACCCUAAUCCAACAACAACAAUAACAAAAAGAAGUGCUCUCUUUUUAAUACUAUCUUUCUUAGCAAAUGUAUACAUCGCCACAACAACCCAGCAAAACAGGAACUAAGCUUAGUUAACUAAUCUGCUUACUACCACCAAACCUUCCAAAUGAAGCGUUGGAUUUAGCAGUUUUAGACAUCUGAGUCUGUGUUUGAGUCAGGAUAGGUUGGGUUGGGUUGCAGUAAUAAGCAAUCCCCAAAUUUCAGCCAUUCAAACCGACACAUAUCUAUUUCUUCCUUAGAGAAAGUCCAGGUGAUUCUCCAGGUCCAUGGACCUCCCUGCCUCUGUCCACUCCAGUCUGGCUGGAUCUUAUGCCACCUCUGCAUCAAUACACUUCUCCCAUUUUCCCCAAAUAAGAGGAGUCUAGGAGUUCCCAUCGCGGCUCAGUGGGUAAUAAACCUGACUAGCAUCCACCAGGAUGCAGGUUUGAUCCCUGGCCUCACUUAGUGGGUUAAGGAUUCAGUGUGCCAUGAGCUGUAGUGUAGGUCGCAGAUGCAGCUCUGAUUCUGAGUUGCUGUGGCUGUUGCAUAGGUCGGGAGCUAUAUAGCUCCAGUUCAACCCCUAGCCUGAGAAUAUCCAUAUGCUGCAAGUGCAGCCCUAAAAAUACAAAAAAAAAAAAAAAAGAGGAGUCUAGGGAAAAACUUUGAAAAUUUGAACAUGCCUCUCAAUCAUCUGGAAGCCUGUUCGGGUGAAGCUUCUGAUACUAGAAUUCUGAGGGUGGGGUCUGAGAGCUGAAUUUCCAUCACUCCCUGGGAACAAUGGGGUCUGGUGAUGACAUUCCAAGCAGGAAGUGGUAUCCCAUCAAGAUUCCAGCAUGAUUCUACAUGGAGAGACAGACAUCAGCUCCCCAUUACACUGGCCCCAAAACGCACAGGACUACUUAUAUAUUAACCUGAAGAGGAUACGGAAAUGGACUUUAUCCCUUUGAUAGGAUAGAGAAGAAGCAUGUCCACUGGGAGAUACUUGUAACACUCCCUCAAUCCAGCCUUGGUUGACUUCAAAGACUUGGCUGCCUUCUUUAGUGGCUACACUGCUUAUCCUGCUGACAGGAGGAAAUGAGAUCUGACCCCAUCCCAUGAGUGGGGAGCGCUGCCCUUCCAGCCCUUCCCUGGGCGCGUUCUUCCCUGAGGCUGCAUCCCUGCCUCCUAUCCUGUUGCUAGGCAAAAUGUGUUACUUAUGGGCCCAGCAUCAGCACCACUCGGAGCUCGUUAGAAAUACAGCAUCUCAGGGUCUACUCCAGACCAAGUGAGUCAGACACCUCAUGUAAACAAGACCCUUCGGCGACUUGCACGGACAUUAAAAGAAGAAAAGCACAGAGUUCUCUGAUGGCCUAGAGGUUAACAAUCUGGCAUCGUCACUGCUGUGGUGCAGGUUCGCUCCCUGGCCCAGGAACUUCCACAUGCCGUGGGGGAGGCCAAAAUAUAAAUAAAUUGAAAGCAAACAAAUUGAUAAAUAAAGGAGGAAAAUCGAGCUCUAAUCCUCCACACAUACAACAGACGACCACCUGCGGAGAAACUGUCCCGCCAUGAAGUUGCCAAAAAGGACCCUCGAUUUUCCCCCAUAGCCUGAUUUCACCAUGGCAGGUCCUUCAACAACCAGACUUGAGGUCUAUGGAGUCAAGUCCAUCCAAGGUGACCAUAACCCUAUAUUCCAUGUAGAUGAUAUACAUAAACAUAUAGAUGCAUACAUAUGUGAUUCAUGAACUAUUGUGUGUGUGUAUAUAUGUACAUACACACACACACACAUAUAUACACACACACACAAUAGUUCAUGAUAAUGGUGUUUUUUUUUAAACAGAUGUAAUUUUUUCUGUGACGAAGAAGCAGGUAUUACCAAAUUUAACAUGUCUUCAUACACUACGAUAUUGAAAUGUAAUCAUUUAAUUUCAGACCAUUAAUCUUUUGUAUUUUAUUUCAAAGGAUGGUCAGUAAAUGCCAUGUAAUCAUUUCUAGGCAUAUAGUAAAUACUAGGAGCCUUUAGUAUCCAAAAAUCCCUAAUUUCAUUUGUAAAUAGUGGCAUCUCCAUGUAUCAAAAUAAAUGUUUUGGCAAAGAGGUGUUCAGGAGGAGUUCCCUGGUGUCUCAGCACUGCAAAAAUCGAGCAUUGUUACAGCUGUGGCUCGGGUCACUGCAGAGUUGCAGGUUUGAUGCCUGGCCCGGGAACUUCUCUAGGCCACAAGGUGGCCAGUGUGUUCCAUGGUGUUCAAAGGGCUAUGGAAGCAUUCAAAGCCAGGCCUGGCUGACAGUCAAAUCACUGCUUUUCACAACCACUGGGUUGUCCAUCUUCCUUAGUCACAGACCAAAGACCCAGGACACCUCCCCCACUUUUUUCUUUCUUUUGCUUUUUAAGGCUGCACCUGCAGCCGUAUAGAUGUUCCCAGGCUAGGGGUCAAAUCGGAGCUGUAGCUGCAGGCCUACACCACAGCCACAGCUACACAGGAUCUGAGCCUCGUCUGAGACCUACACCACAGCUCAUAGCAACGCCAGAUCCUUAAACCCACUGAGCAGGGCCAGGGAUCGAAACCACAGCCUCAUGAACAUCAGUCGGAUUUGUUUCCACUGAGCCACCAGGGAACUCCCCGGGACAUCCCUUUAAAAACCAUCGUCUUAAUCCCCCUGCUGACAGAUAUGGAGGCCACACUUCCUUAUCGUUUCACUAGAUACACUCCAUUCGCACCCAGAAUACUGCGUCUCUAGCUCCUAUACGCGCUCGUGCUGCACAGCUGGGUAACAAUUAUUUCCUCUCCACUCCAUCCUUUCCAUAAAUAUUGCCAUCUCUGCAAAACGGGAGCUCUCCAGGGGUUGUGGAAUUAAAUUUUGGGAGAUAUUUGUCCUGUAUCCCAUGUCUGACAUGGCUGCUCCGUGAAGUCAGGCACUAGGGAAGCCACGUUGGUGAUUAUUCACCUUUUGAGCCUGUAUUCCCAUUGCCUCUGGGUGUCAAAUGAGAACACUGCAUUUGACCAGAAAUAUGCCUCAGGUGAAAUGAUGGAUACGGCUACCCCAGCCGUCCUCAUUUGGGUCACUUUCCCUGACUACGGGAAGAGCCAAAAAUAUCCACGCUUGGCAAGAGGUGCCUUCUCUCUCAGCAGGACGUGCAUGCGUAGAGCCCUUAAAAAGACCUCAAGGUUCACGGUUACAGCCCUCGAGAAGACGGUCUGCCUUCUCUUUGAACCAUGACUCGCAGACACUGGUUCAGCCUACAUUCAACAUCCGAUGAUGGUAUAUCCCACUGAUAUGGUGACCCAGCUGUAGCUCAGCUUCACUAUGCUGUUCGAUACUGGAAAAUUAAUCUAUCUGUGGAUUGUCUCAACACAAUGACUUGAGACAUUUGGGAUACUUCAGUCCAUGGGACCUGUUACCACCUGGCAUCGGUCCUUCAAGCACCAACAUGAACACUAGAUACACAUUUCAAGGUGCAUCCAAGAACACGUUUUUGGCUAACUCACAUGUCUUAGGUGAAAUUCGAAGCUGUGUUGACCUACCCUUGGGACUAAACACGACGCUGAUAUCAGGUCCAGACACAAUCCUAAAAGGAGAAUGGAAAUGAACACUUCCACCCUGAUGGACAACCUCGUAUCAGAGAGUUAACCUACCCCAUCACCACCUCAAAGAAUAGUCUGAUUGGAUUUCCCUUAUGGCAUGGAGGGUUAAGGAUCCAGGGUGGCUUGGGCUCACCCUGGCCCAGAAACUUUCAUAUUCCAUGGGGACGACCAAAAGGGAAAAUAAAAUUAAAAAAAGAAAAGGAAAAAAAAAAAAAAGGAAUAUUCUGCUUUAAGAAUCCAUCUCCUGGAGAAUAUUCAGAGAUCGGCCAGACGGCGCAGUACAAAGACACUAAGCCUACCUCCUCUCAUGGAUACACCAAGAUCACAACAAUUUACAGAACAGGCACUGACGAAAAAGACCAGAAUGUAUGAGAAAAGACCUUCUACAACUAAAAAGGUGAAGAAGGGACAAAAGCAAGGCUGAUAGGAUGGGCAGGGACAAAAUAGAGUCAAGUCCCAUACCCCCAGGUGGGCAAGUUAGAAACAAGAGAAUAAUGAAAACUGCAGAAGUUCUCCCAAAGGAGUGAGAGAUUCAGAACCAAGGAUGACCCAGCUUAAGUGGGGGCUCCUGCACUGAGAAACGGAGCCCCCAGAGCACAUGGCGUAGAAGGCCAGCAGGGCUUCCUUUCAGGAGUCCCAGAGGUAGGGUUAGGAGAGUAAAGGGUACAAACUACGAUGGAUAAAAUAAAUGAGCUACAAGGAUAUAUUGCAUGACACAGGGAACAGAGUCAAUAUUUUAUAAUAAUGAUAAAUGGAAUACAACCCUCAAAAUUAUAAAUCACUAUGUUUUACACCUGACACUGAUAUCAUAUUGUACAUCAACGUAGAUCAAUAAAAGAGUAAGAAUCUUUGGGUUCAAAAGAAAAAAAAACAAAAAAAACAAAAAAAAACCCACUUCACACGGAAUGUUUUACCAGCGUGGUGUUCUAGUUUGGAGGUAAAAUUUAAUUCUCAUGGGUUGUAUGCUUUUUUAAACUAUAUUUCACUACAGUGGAUCAGCAGCAUAGAAACAGACAAAUGAGGGG